GAUGAAGACGCAGCGAAAUGCGAUACGUAAUGUGAAUUGCAGAAUUCAGUGAAUCAUCGAGUCUUUGAACGCACAUUGCGCCCUCUGGUAUUCCGGAGGGCAUGCCUGUCCGAGCGUCAUUGCUGCCCUCAAGCACGGCUUGUGUGUUGGGCCCCGCCCCCCGAUCCCGGGGGGCGGGCCCGAAAGGCAGCGGCGGCACCGCGUCCGGUCCUCGAGCGUAUGGGGCUUUGUCACCCGCUCUGUAGGCCCGGCCGGCGCUUGCCGAUCAACCAAACUUUUUUCCAGGUUGACCUCGGAUCAGGUAGGGAUACCCGCUGAACUUAAGCAUAUCAAUAAGCGGAGGA
rnacentral:misc_RNA from 1 species